rnacentral:rRNA from 1 species
GAUGAACGCUGGCGGCGUGCCUAAUACAUGCAAGUCGAGCGAACUGAUUAGAAGCUUGCUUCUAUGACGUUAGCGGCGGACGGGUGAGUAACACGUGGGCAACCUGCCUGUAAGACUGGGAUAACUUCGGGAAACCGAAGCUAAUACCGGAUAGGAUCUUCUCCUUCAUGGGAGAUGAUUAAAAGAUGGUUUCGGCUAUCACUUACAGAUGGGCCCGCGGUGCAUUAGCUAGUUGGUGAGGUAACGGCUCACCAAGGCAGCGAUGCAUAGCCGACCUGAGAGGGUGGUCGGCCACACUGGGACUGAGACACGGCCCAGACUCCUACGGGAGGCAGCAGUAGGGAAUCUUCCGCAAUGGACGAAAGUCUGACGGAGCAACGCCGCGUGAGUGAUGAAGGCUUUCGGGUCGUAAAACUCUGUUGUUAGGGAAGAACAAGUACGAGAGUAACUGCUCGUACCUUGACGGUACCUAACCAGAAAGCCACGGCUAACUACGUGCCAGCCGCCGCGGUAAAAC